AAUGUCGAUCGUCGGGACAUGGAAGUUUCCUUGAAUUCUAAAUUUGUUUAAAUUUCUAUAUGUCGCCGGGAAGAACCUUGUUGACCAGACAUGUACUGAGAUGCUUUGUGAUAAAUUUAUAAAUGACAGAUAAAAUAAUCAUUGAGACAUUAUGUUCGUAGGAAAGAAGCAACCCAGCACUCUAUUUAAGUCAAGUGAAGGGCCCACCCCAAAUUUAACUGGCAUCAUAAGCUAAUCAGGAUCGACUACCACCGAGGAUGCCAGUCUAGAUGAGAUGUGCGCCCUGCCCUUGGGGGAGGAUUAUGAUGUGAUGCAAGGGCAGGGGCGCUUUAAGGAGGUGGGGGAUGAGGGUGCUAAGGGGAUAACCUUCUUCUUUCUUAGGGGAGUAAAGCUACCCUCUCAAAAGACGACAGGCACAGGAAGGGGUUAACGUGGAGAACGAGGAGAACGAGGAGGAGCUAGACGCAGGAGGAGAAAGGACCGUAUAAAAACCCGAACAAGGACGGAACGAGAAGAAGCGAAGUCCACGAGUUAAACGAGCCGAAGUCGGACAGCGUAAUUAGACAAGGUAGGAGAUCACUUUUGGAGGGCUCGUGGGCAACGCCGAGGACUUCCGUCGCAGGGCCGUGCCGUGGACUUUAAGAUGUCGGCGAGUGAGCGGUCAGGCUGCUGCUAAUUUCUGCCAGUUUCGGCAGUGGCGGAGCGACGUAGGGUUUAUGGUCCAGAAGGGAGCGAGCGAUAUCAGUUCGGAGGCGUCGGAAGCGGAAUUCUAGUGAUCCGCGUUGUAUUCUUUCUUGUGUACUGUUUAGAGUAAAUUAAUAAAGUCCAAUUGUCUUGUUAA